AGCAAAUGUUGUCAGAAAGGAUUUCAGCUUCCACGCUGGCUCUGAUCCCGAACCAAGGAGGGAAGCCAUUGAAUGCUCAGGGCAAAAACCUACAGUGGCAUCAGACUCCUGUUUCUGACAUGGCUUAAUUGGAGACUGUCAGCCUCUGACUUCAAAGGUCAAGCCCUGGGUCACUUACUGCAUCCAGAGGGCAGGAAGUUCCUGGCUCCAGAGGUGGGGUCCGUGUGUCUGUCCCGCCAGCUUGGAAGAAGAAGGAUGGAUAGUUUGCAUCACCUACUGAAGAGAGUGACCAAACAUUGUGUCAGGUGGACAUGCAAUGAGGUGUACGACGAUCAGAUGGCGAUGAAUCACACUGAGGAGUGUAUCGGCAAUAAAGACUGCUGAGACAUGCCAAACUGCCUGGAAAAAGCAUGAGUUCAGAAGCCUGGAAGAAGCAAAGACCAGCCAAGCAGCUUAGAAGAAACAAGAACCAGCCUAGCUGCCAGGAAGAGGCUCACACAAUGGAGGCAUGCAGAACUAACACCCUCUGACCUAUUGAGCUGCCUGCAGGCUGUGCAGUGGGCCCCAGGUUCCCAGUUUUUGUGAGCUGUCAACCAUGGGGGCUGUGGGAGGGCUUUGGUGAUGGAUCUGUCUUUGAGUCAUUUCCGCUCCUGUAAGUAACCUCACAUUUGUAUUUCUGUAAGUAAUCUGGAUAAACCUCAUUGGUCUACCAAGAUA
rnacentral:lncRNA from 1 species